rnacentral:rRNA from 1 species
GACGAACGCUGGCGGCGUGCCUAAUACAUGCAAGUUGAGCGAUGAAGAUUGGUGCUUGCACCAAUUUGAAGAGCAGCGAACGGGUGAGUAACGCGUGGGGAAUCUGCCUUUGAGCGGGGGACAACAUUUGGAAACGAAUGCUAAUACCGCAUAACAACUUUAAACAUAAGUUUUAAGUUUGAAAGAUGCAAUUGCAUCACUCAAAGAUGAUCCCGCGUUGUAUUAGCUAGUUGGUGAGGUAAAGGCUCACCGAGGCGAUGAUACAUAGCCGACCUGAGAGGGGGAUCGGCCACAUUGGGACUGAGACACGGCCCAAACUCCUACGGGAGGCAGCAGUAGGGAAUCUUCGGCAAUGGACGAAAGUCUGACCGAGCAACGCCGCGUGAGUGAAGAAGGGUUUCGGAUCGUAAAAAUCUGUUGGUAGAGAAGAACGUUGGUGAGAGUGGAAAGCUCAUAAAGUGACGGUAACUACCCAGAAAGGGACGGCUAACUACGUG